rnacentral:lncRNA from 1 species
CGACAAAUGUACCGUCUGGCAAGAUAUCGUCGUUUCGGCAAGCUUUCGAGUCAACCGGAACCGGCGGGUACAGCCUCAACGUCUCGGAUAGCGCUGCAUGCAAAUAAUGCAUGUCUCGCAACUCCUCGAAACUGUAGGUAGCGCCGACGCUUCUCCCAUUUCGGGCCCGAAUCGAUUCAAGCUCCUUUAAAAUAUUUUGCUCAACCUUGGGAUGGGAUGCUAAUAGCCAAAAGAACCAACUCAAAGCCGAAGAUGUAGAGUCACGUCCAGCCAGGAUAAAGCUAAUCACGACAUCUUGGAGAAAUUCGGUUGAGUUCUUCCCGUUUCCGAUAAACCGUGACAGCAAAUCGUCUUCCAUAUUCGCCGUUUUUUCUUCCAUUCUUGAACGUAUAAUGUUAUUUGCAAAUUCAUGAACUAUUGCAAUUGAAUUCUUUAGCGUUCGCUCUGACCCGAUGUUAAAGAACUUCUUGAUACUCCACAUAUGCCUGAAAGCGUAUAGGAAUCUCCCCGAACUAAGCGUUGCAGCAUCUUCAAAAGCCCGCAUAAACUCUGAACCGGCAGUUCCGUCGCCGUCGAGACAACCGGGAUCAAAGUUAAAUGCCACUUUACAAAUAUUAUCAAACCCAUAACGUUCCAAAAUAUCUUGUAAAUCCAACACCUGUCCGGUCCUGGACGCUUUUGUGAGAAUCGGAACUAACCUCGAUAGAGUCUCGAACCUAACGUUGUCCAUUACGAAAUUUCGGAGCGAUUUUGUGUUGAACUCGUAGCUAGCGGUUUUCCUCUGUACUUUCCAUAACUCGCCAUCGGAGUUAAAGAUUCCUCGGCCGAGAAAAUCUUCGAGAAGGGUAACGAAGCGUUGACCUUUUGGGUAGUUCUCGAAGUUGGUCUUGAGUAUGUGUUCGACGUUUGCAGGGUUUGCCGUGAUGACGCUGUGAAUUUCGCCGGGGCUGUAAAAGAUGGUCGUGCCCUUGGGGCAGUGUUUAAGGAUUUCGGUGCUCCAGUCAAGGAAGCGGUGGCGGUUUCUCAAGUAUCCGGGCAAGGCUCCGACCACAGGGUAAUGUUUAAAGCCGACAGCAGGUCUUUUGUAUGAAGUAAAAAAGUACAAGUAGAGGUAAAGAGAGAGGAGGGAGAUGAAAAUGAAAGAUUGAAGAGAGAGGAGCAUUUCCAUAGCUAGAAUCAAGCUACAGAGAUAAGGAUCUCUCUUAUCUCGGUGAUCAAGAUAUUUAUAGAAAAAAAAAAAUGAAAAGAGGCGAUAGGGGUUACUUUACGGUGCUGGAAUUUUUUUUUUUUGUGUAUUAAAUAAUUAGUAUUCGAAUAUCAUAUUAGGUCCCGAUUAAUCCAUAUUCGAAUCAGAUAGGACCAUUAGGGCGGCAAAGCUCUCCCAACAAGUAUUUAACGCAACUGCAUUCCCAAACCUCGAACCGAGAACCUUAGUUAAGCUAGAACAACCUCACGUCAGUUGAUCUACGCGCUAGUUGGUCGGUGCUGUAAAAUGUUAUACACACUUGUAUUGGACGAGAAUACGAAGAGAUGAGGAUAGCUGUGCAGGUCUAAAACUUUUGUGUUGUGCACUAAUUAUUGGUUGUUUGCUUCGAAGGGAAAUGAAAAUGAUAUAAAAUUUAAAAAAAUUGGUCAGCGCUUAACAUAAAAUUAACAUAGCAUCAUUGUAUUAACACACACCCAAAAAAAAAAAAUUCAAUUUUUAUCCUAAGUUUCAUUUCCAAUAUUAUGACGUGAUGUGUCAUUAAAUUAAUUGAUAACUUUUCAUAUUUUUUAAAUGGAUUAAUUAUAUCUUAUCUACUGAGUCUUAAACGGGUGGUCUUCAAAUAACUUUAUCUAACCUAAUUUUGACUUUUUUCACAUGCGUUCUUUUAAAAAAAAUAAUAGAAUCAUAAAACUACAUUUUCUCACUAUCGCAUUCCUUAAUAAAUGAUAUAUUAAUUGAGAAUAAAUUUUGAGAUAUAUAACGCUUAGUCAGGUAGGCAGAUCCCAUUUCAAAAUAAAGGAUAAGAUUUAAAAAAAAAAAUCAAAACUUAGUAUUAUUCGGGAAGCAAACGAUGAAGAGUCGUAUAUGAUGCUGCACAUACCUGGUAAGGCUGUACGCUACAACCUUAAUGGCAAGACUUUUCCUAGUUUGAUGCUAGCUGUGGGGUUAAAUUUCUGAUUUUAAAUGGCUUAAAUGUGGCUGUUGGACUUUUCUAUUGGCUUAUUAGUCAUUUGGAAUUCCUUGUGUUGAAUAAGCAAUUUUGAUGGUAUGAAUAUUGUUAACAAAUUAAAUGUGUUAUUGCAUCAUGUAAUGCUUUCUCUUUGCUUGUUGAAGAAUGAAGAUAAAAACUACUAAUGAAUACAGAGCAGCAGAGAGUGAAUAUUUGAUCUGUUCCAACUCUGUGACUAUAAGGUGCUAGAGAAGAAAGAUGACAGGUAUAAAGAGUUGGCAUAUAUGAGGAGCUAAUUAAUUUAUUAAUUGUUGACUCUUGCAAGUUUAACCAAAGUUUAGGAAAAUGAAGAACAUCGAUCCCUCCGCUCUUAGGUCAUUUGCUUCUUGGCUCUGCAGCGACAGACAUUUUUAUUUAUUGAAUUGCUCUUGAGGUUGAAAUGGAUUGUGGGCAAAGAAGAUGCUCUAAGUGCAAUCUAGUGUGCCUUUCAUUUCUAAUUCAAAUGGAAACCAAUCAUGCCAAUCGGUGAAACACUGGCAAAACUUUUGUGUUGUGCACUAAUUAUUGGCUGUUUGCUUCGAAGGGAAAUGAAAAUGAUAUAAAAUUUAAAAAAUUUGGUAAGCGCUUAACACAAAAUUAACAUAGCAUCAUUAUAUUAACACACACCCAAAAAAAAAAAAAAAAACUUCAAUUUUUAUCCUACGUUUCAUUUCCAAUAUUAUGGUGUGAUGUGUCGUUAAAUUAGUUGAUAACUUUUCAUAUCUUUUAAACGGAUUAAUUAUAUCUUAUCUAUCGAGUCUUAAACGAGUGGUCUUCAAAUAACUUCAUCUAACCUAAUUUUGACUUUUUUCACAUGCGUUCUUUUAAAAAAAAUAAUAGAAUCAUAAAACUACAUUUUCUCACCAUCACAUUCCUUAAUAAAUGAUAUAUUAAUUGAGAUAAAAUUUUGAGAUAUAUAACGCUUAGUCAAGUAGGCAGAUCACAUUUCAAAAUAGAGGAUAAGAUUUCUAUUGCUAAGGAUGCUAGAUUAUGGAUUCAAAUGUCAAAUCACUGGAAUUAAUAAGGAAAAUACUAUCUGAACAGAGGUAAGACAGAAACGACAAUACUAUAGUAUAAAUAAUACUGUCAUUUCAUAUGUAAUAGUGUUAUUGUAAUAUAAACAAUACUCAUAUUUUUAUUUUCUUUCUGUCUUAAGACCAAUUUAGAAUUACGGUGACUAAUUAAAAAAGCUACUUUUACGGCGCAGAUGAAAUAAACUGUUGAUUAAAAAAAUAAUUUAGUGUUUGACAAAUUGUAUUGUUGAAGUUGUUGUGAGUUUAAAAAGCAGUAUACAUAUAUUUGAUAAAUUUUAUUAUAAAAUAUUUUUUUUAUAUAUAUAGUAAUCAAAAUAGGCACCAGUUUAAAUUAUAUUUAUUUUUUAGAGUAUGUUUAAAAACAUAUAGGCAUGUCUUUUUCUUUUUAAAACACAUAAAAUUAAAUAAAGUGAAAAAAACUCCAUUAAAUAAAAUUUAAUAAACUUCAUACAUAAUGAUUAUGAUGACUACCUGCAAAGAACUGCCAUAACAAUUGUCAUUGCAGGUAGCAUGUUACUCAUGGCACAAGAGAAAGUCGGCGAUGUGAAAUGUUACAGAAGCUACCACUGAGAAGAUAUGAUCUUAAAUAUUUGUCACUUGUACAGCUAGACAUCAAUUAUGAUUAUUAGCUUCAAUGUCAUCAAUUAUUGCCAAAGUGUGUCCGUGUUCUCCACAGCUUCAGGAACCAUCUCUAUGUUCUCCACAGCUUCAGGAACCAUUUCUUUGUAUUUGCCCCAUAGCACGGCGUAGAGUCCAAUGACUAUCAGAACUGCCCCAAGAACACUGAAAAUUAAACCACAAGUAAAACAAAUGAGUUAGUGGCACUACUUUAUUUAUACGAUUAUUCGUUUUUAAUAAUUAAAACUAAAAAAAGAAAAAAAUAGAAAAUUGGAUUUAAUUGAAUAAUUACCCUCCAACAUAUAUCUUUUCAGCAAGAAGGAAAGAGCCCAUAAUUGCAACAAUGAUCAUCAUCAGAUGGCUGAAAGCGGUUACAAAGACAGGCCCUCUUUUUUGCAUCACCAGCCCUUGAACAUAGUAAGCAAUGCCUGAUGACACAAUACCCUGUACAUAAAAUUAAAAAUAGAAAAAGAAAACGUAAAUAUCAAUUAUAAUAUAUAUUAAGUAAAUUAUUUAUAGCAAAAAAAGAGAGUGAAGAGGAAAGGGGAGAGAGAGAGAGAGACUCACAGCAUAAGCAGCAGCAAGAAGAUUCAUGUCCCAACCAAUUGUCCAAACAGAAUCUUUGUGUUCCAUCACAAAAGUAACAGCAGCGGAUUGCAAAGUUCCAAGAAAACACACAAUGGCUGUGAGUGAGAGGUGAGCUGGGUACCUCAUUAUUGCCACUGGCUGUAGUAAAAUUAAAUAACCCAACAAAUUAAAGUUAAUUAAAUUCAUGAACGUACCUACAAAAUCACAAGUCAUAUAGUAAUUAACUAUUUUCAAGAAUCUUUAAUUAGAUAGUUAGCUACCUGAAGAAUAAAGAAUGAAGCCCAAGCAAGAGUAGCCAAGAUUAAAAGAAUUGAACCCUUAAUUAAGCCAGUCUUUGUCCGAAGAAGUAGUUGCCGCAGGGACAGGUGAGGAUGUACGACCGUGGAUGGGCUGAGACCAAACCAAAUUAAUGACAUUACCUGUAUAUAAUGUCAUCAACAUGGCUCCAGCCACUGUCACUAUAGCUCCCACAAUUUUUGCUUGGCAUCUAAUUUUCUUUAUAUCCACUUUCUCCAUCCUUCAUUUUAAGAAAAGUACCCAAAAAAAAAAAUCAAUCUUUUUGUCCAAAUUAAUAUAAAUGGCAUCAAUAUGAGAUACGGAUUAUGAUGACUUUAGAUACCUGCAAAGAACUGCCAUGACAAAUGUCAUUGCAGGUAGCAUGUUACUCAUGGCACAGGAGAAAGUCGGCGAUGUGAACUUUAAGCCGGCGUAGUAGAAGUUUUGAUCAAUCACAGACCUAUAUAAAGAUCAAAAAUGAAAAAUAAAUAAAUAAACGAAUUAAUGUAUCUUAAGCUUGAUGGCAGUCUUCAUCAUGUACUGUGGAGAUAUGCAAAGAAACUAACCCAAGAAGGCCAAGAACAAAGAGUUGCAUGAAAAUGGGAAAAGUAAUCUUUGUCCUCACUUUCCUGUACGUAAAACGAAACCAACCAACCAAAAAAAAAUUAAAAAAAAUGAAGUAAUAUAUAUAUUUGAAACUGUAAUAAAUGAAAUUUUUUAAUUUCUCAAGCAUUAUAGUGGUAUUUAUUAAAGGACCUCUCAAGAACGAGAGCGAAAGGGGCGAUGACUGCGGUAGCAAAGGCAUGACGAUACACAACAAGAACAUAGUGGCUCAUUCCUCUAUUGAGGGAAACCUUGGUGAUUGUUUGGGGAAUUAAAUAGGGUGACCAUGAUCUCUUCCAAGUAAAAGUGAGCAAAUGGUUGAGCAGACCACCUCGACCAGGUGGUAAUCUCGAUGAGCAUGAGCAGACCACCUCGACCAGGUGGUAUGAGCUUAAGCAAACCACCUCGACCAUGUGCUAUGAGCUUGAGCAGACCACCUCGACCAGGUGGUAUGAGCUUGAGCAAAUCACCUCGACCAGGUGGUAUGAGUUUGAGUAGAUGACCUAGAUGACCUCGACCAGGUGAUAACCAGGAAUCAAGGCUCAGUUAAAACAAACCACCACAAACCUCCUCCGAAAAAUCAGGAGCACAAAUUUGAUCAAUUAAUGGUUAUUGUCACGAUCUAAGGUCGUGGGGGUGGGGUGUUUAUAAAAACCCAAAGAAAAUCACGCCAAGAGGGGAAUUUUUCUUUCUGAAUUUUUAUUUUAUUCUUUUAUUACAUUUACAUGAGAAUUUUUGUUCAUGAAAAUGAGAAAUUACAUAUUUGGUUUUUCCUAUAAACAUGAUAACUGACUUGAGCAUCGGAGGGUUCAUGCCGGAAAAACUUCCGGCGCCUCUAAUCGUCUUCUGUGAUUUUAGGUAUUCGCAGGUUAAUCGCUAAUGGUCACAAGACAUCUUGACGAUUGGCCAGCCGAUUCUCCACCAAAUAAAUUUAAUGCUGUUGUGGGAGUCUGGUAUCAAGCCGCUAACCGACUCAAUCAGAUUCCGGCAUCAACAGUGAUGAUGUUCAUUCUGGCACAGCCAAAUUGCAGUGAUAUCAUAGCACUAUAAGGCUUGCACCUUUGAAGCAAAAUUGCCACAUCCUUUUUCCUCCAUUUUGGGGGGGGGGGGGGGGACAAUUAAUUUGUGUUUGAGGAAAAUUAAGUGGUAAGUGUAAGAGAUGGUCAGAAGGUCACGUAUUUAUAGGGGUGCUGGCCUCUAUCUACACAAAAGAAAAUUAGUAAUUUUUUAUUUUUCUAUUUUUUUCUGUCAUGGUACGUACGUGUGAAAUUGAAUCUCAGUCUCACACGUGAGUGGUAGCACUGCCUGGAUCUGUUUGAAUAUUCUGCUUAGUGUUAGUGUUUCACGGGUGAUGUGGUUCCACGUGGCAGUAUAUGGGAAGCAAUUAUAAUGUGAGAUGGGGUCCACUAUGCUUUGAUCUCAGUGGCAAGUGAUUUGAGAGCUCCCAAAACAAAGGUCACUUUGGUGCAUGAUGAUGCAAAUUGAGGACCGUCGCUCUCCCAUGCAUUAACAUGAUGGUGGGGCCCGCUGGGAGAAUUGGGCCCUUAUUGGUCCGGCUUCCUCGAUGCGGCGUUCCGACUGCAUUGAUCACUGCUUCAACUUUACUUAGGUGUGAGACUAUACAUGUAUGUAAGCAUAUGCAUUUAUAGAAUGAGACAUGCACAAAGCAUAUUUUAAUGAUUCCAUAAUUAUAAGUUGCUUGUGAUUAAUUGUAUUAUUUUUCCCUUUUUUUUUAAGCGGAUAUUAUUUUUCACUAUUAGAACGCUUAUUCUAGUACUAAUUACAUGCUUUUAUCAGUUUACUACAUUAAUCACAUACAUAUUCGUGAUUGUUACGAAACGCGGAAUAAUUUGAUUAAAAAGACUAUGAUUCAUAUAAAAUAUAUAUUUUUUAUAAUUUAUUUUUUUUUUCAAAAAAGGUUGUUUGUGGGACUAUGGUCACUUUAUAAAAGUUGGAAGCUUCCGUUAUUAAUUUGAAAUGCGGAAAAUGGAGUAUUCUAUUUUUACUUUUAUGGUGUGUUUACUUAGUAAAAUGUAAAUUAAGAAUAAGAAUAAAAUGUGUGAGUCCCACAUAAUAUGGGAAUAAAUAAUGAGAAUCUCAUUCUCAUGGGGGGUUGGGAAUGGAAAUGAAACUCAUGUUUACUUUUGUAUCCCUCUAAUUUUUUUAUAUUUCCCAAAUUACUCUCGUUCAAAUCACAAUUAAUUUUAUUAUUUUAAAUAUCAUUAUUAUUAUUAUUAUUAAAUUUUAUUAACUUUAUUAUUUUAGUUAUUAUUAUUAAUUAUUAUUAUUAUUAUUAAUUUUAUUUUUUUAAUUAAUAUCAUUUUUAUAAUAAUAUUUAUGCAUGCAUUUAGUUAAUGAAAAUUACAUAAUUUAAUACCAUGGGUAUUUUGGUAAAUUGAUUCUCAUUCUCAUUCCUCAUUUCCAUUUAUUUUUCCAAGUAAACACAUCAAUGACAUUCCAGCACACUCCCAUUCCCAUUUAUUUUUGCCAAGUAAACAUUGGAAUCUCAUUCCCAUUCCACUCCAUUCUCAUUCCAUGAAGUAAAUGUACCAUUAGUUAUCAUUGAUACAUUUAUGUGGAGGAGUAGUACAGUUUUCAUGCAUUAAUAAUUAAUUUAUGAAAAGAAUGCGCAUCUGAGUGUUUAUAAAUUAUUUUUGAGUGCUCACAAAUAUGCACGAGUCAAGGAUUUGAAUUUUUUUUUUUUUUGGAUUUAUUGCUGAAGAGCUUAUGUCAAGAAUCGGUAAGUAAUCUAUAUUUUUAAUGAAUAUUAUUUCAUAUAGUAGCUAGUAGCAAUAUUCUUGGAAUUUAAUCACAAUAUCAUUUUUUUCCCCUUUUUGUGAUUGAGCCUAAACGUAUAUAUAUAGAUAGGACAUAUAAUUCCUUAUGGGAUAAGUUAGAUAUGGCCUAAGUAAAACACUUUGUAAUAGAGAAGAUGCCUCUGUUAACAUGUAUAUGUUCAUUAUAUUGAUUUUGAUGAUAACAAAUUUUAAAUAUUUUUGAUUAAAAUGUUGGAGUUUUUCAUUAAUAAAUAAUUUCUCAAAAGCCAUAUAAUCUUUCUAAAUGUGUUCAUGAAAGAUGGAUAAUCGUUAAAUUUUAAUCGAAAAAUAAUUCCUUGCGAAAUUUGGUUAAAACUGUGAUUCUAGAAGUAAAUGGUGAACUGUUAUCCUUAAAACAGUUAAUCGAUAAUUUCCAGAGAGGGAUAAACGCUUAAACUUGAAUCGGUGCUACAAGAGAGUGCGAAGAAAUCACGGAACUUCUCCACACACACAAGUUACACUUAUGCAUGCUUUUACUUUUGCCCUUUUUUUGAGAAAUUUAUAAAAAUAGCCAUAAUAUUUUUACAUUUUUCAAAUUUAACCCCUCAAACUUUUUUUAUCAUAACUAGCCAAAUAAUGAACUUUUGGACCAAAUUGCCCUCGCACUUUCAUCAAAUUUUUAAAUGAUACCACUCUUACAAUACUCAACACUCAACACUCAACAAACCUUAACACACUCAACAAACUUUAACACUCUCAACAAAUCUCAACACUCUCAAUAAAUCUUAAUAUUCUCAACGUUUUCAGGAUAACAAAAGUAUAAAAUCAUUAAUUGGAGAGCAUUCUAAAGGUUAUUCUAUGUUCUUACACAUAGAUUCUUAAUGUAUUAAGUCUAUGGUUUAAGUUCAAAAUUGAUGUAGAUUUUGUUGUAAAUGUUGUUAUUUUUAAUUGAUAAAGUAAUGUAAUUUUGUUAAAGUAGUUAGAUUUGAGUUGAGAAAUCAAAAAAAUCAUUGAAAACAAUAGAAGUUUGAGUUAGAAACGAAACCCAGGUUAUGUGCGACAGGCUGAGCGACAGGUGCCUGUCGCACAUAAAUACCACUGUAUUUUUAUGCGACAGCCACCUGUCGCACAUAAUUUAGCAUGUCGCACAAAAUUACAGUAUGUGCGACGAUACUUUUUGGAGGUCAUAACUUAAGUUACAUGUGUCCGUUUUUUGCGUAUAAUAUACCGUUUCGAAGCUUACGACGAGACGAAUCAAACCCAUAAUUUUUUCGCUGGUCUCCCCCAUGAUCAAACCAAAAAUUUGCGCCAAUUUAAAUGCGACAGACACCUAUUGUACAUAAAGUUGUUUGUCGCACAUAUUCUCCAUCUGUACGACAUCUAUGUAAAACGUGUCGUAUAUUUACUUUAUCAUGUUUUGUAGUAUGUAUGUGCAACACAUUUUAUAUGGAUGUCAUACAAACAGAGAAUAUGCGUGACAUGCAACUUUUUGUGCCAUAGGUGCUCGUUGCACUUAAAUUGACGCAAAUUUUUGGUUUGAUCAUGGGGGAGACCAGGGAAAAAGUUAUGGGUUUGAUUUAUCUCAUCGUAAGCUUUGAAACAGUAUAUUAUACACAAAAAAAAGGACACAUGCAGCUUAAGUUAUGACUUCCAAAAAGUCAUGUCGCACAUACUGUAAUUUUGUGCGACAGGCAAAAUACUGUGGUAUUUAUAUGCGACAGGCACCUAUCGCCCAACCUAUCACACAUAAUUCAACUUGUCGCACAUAACCUGAGUUUCGUUUCUAACUCGAAUUUCUACUGUUUUCAAUUUUUUUGUUUUUGUUUCUCAACUCAAAUCUAACUACUUUAACAAAUUACAGUACUUUAUAAAUGAAAAAUAAUAACAUUUACAACAAAAUGUACAUCAAUUUUGAACUAAAACCAUAGACUUAAUACAUUAAAAAUUCAUAUUUAUGUAAAAACAUAGAAUAACCUUUAGAAUACUCUCCAAUUGAUGAUUUUAUACUUUUGUCAUGCUAAGAGUGUUGAGAAUGUUGAGAUUUAUUGAGAGUGUUGAGAGUGUUGAGGUUUGUUGAGGGUGUUGAGAGUGUUAAAGUUUGUUAAGAGUGUUGAGUAUUCUAAGAGUGACAUUAUUUGAAAAUUUGAUGAAAGUGGUGAGGGCAAUUUGGUCCAAAAAUUUAGCAUUUGGUUAGUUAUGAUAGAAAAAAGUUUGAGGGGUUAAAUUUGAAAAAUGUAAAAAUAUUAUGGCUAUUUUUAUAAAUUUCUCUUUUUUUAUAUAAUUAAAACAGUGUUACAAGUCCCAAAAAGUUAGCUAAUUGAUAUAGUGCCUGUAAAGAACGAGUGCUGCUAAAUGGCUAGAAGAAUGAGAGAAAACUGAGACAAACUACAAUCUAAACUGCUGUUUUGCUUCCUCUCUCUCUUCUGUCAGCUUUUUUUUCUCUCUCUCUUCUCUUAGCACAUGCUUCAUUCUCUCAACUUUCUCUCAUUUUUCUUGAUAUUUAGCAUUUUCCAUAAAGAACAGAUUUUAAGAUGAUUAUAGCUUUAUCAAUAACUUUUUUGGAGCUGUUGGUCUGUCAUAUUGUAUUAUUUGAUGGCCACAUUUGUUUUCUCCUUAUUUAUAUGAUUGUUUCGUGAAUGGAAUUUAUUUUAUUUUAUCAUAAAGUCGAAAGAAAAGGGAAAUUAUACGUAAGUUAGACCAAAAUAGUGUAGAUUCAUUAUUUUCUUCAAUUAACAAUAGUUGAUCACUUACAUUUUGGUCAUGAAUUCAAAUGCUAAAAGCCGAAAGACUAUGGGAUACGUGACAAGGAUAACUCGUGUCAAUAAUAUAUCAAUUGGCUAUGAUCAGUUUAGCUGGAAUUGAAUUCAUUAAUCACUUCUCUUUUUUUUGUGUUAAUUAACUGUUGGUUGUAGAUGAGAAUCCAUCCUUUCGUUUUAAUUUAAAGGGCAUGAAAUAUAUAAGCUUACAAGAAAAUGAAGAACAAGAAGACUUUAAUAACUUAGUGAAGCUUUUAUAAGCUUACAUGAUCCGAUGAAAAAUAAGCACCAUAAACCAAUUUUUUUUUUUUUAAAUCAACAUUUAAGGAUCACAAAUGCUUUUAAACAAAUGAUCCCAAUCCUAUAUCGUAUCGAUUGAAAUAAAAAAAGUUUUUUAAAAAUUAUAAUGGGAUAUUGAUAUUAAUUUAUUUACCGAGGAAGAGCCAUAAUCACCUUACAAAAUAAGUCACACGUUUAACGACAUGAAGUUUAAACAUUAUUAAAAGUCACACAUUUAACCGAGGUUCAUUCAAAAGAGAAAAAAAAAAUCUGUAAUUAAAAUAUAUACUAUUCCAGUUUAAUUAGGAAGGCUACAAAUACAAGAUUGUAUGCAAGGUUCUUUCUAAACAUGGUGCUGAGUGUCUGACAUUCAAUCACGAAUUAAUCAUUCAAAAAAAAAAAUCUCGUCAACCUCUCACCAACGAAUUAGACCAAACAAUUAGUCCUUUUUUUCUUUUUUUGAGGAAACAAAUAGUCAAUUACAAGAGAAAAAAUAUUUUUUUUUAAUAAUAAAUUUUCUGUUUAAGAUUUUUUUUUUUCAUCACAUUCAACUUUCUUUCACCAAAUAAUUAAUAUACAAAAGACUUUUGUUCGAGAUUCAGUCUUUACUUCUUGAAUUACACAGCUCAUUUCAGUUCAAGAUCAAUGGAACCGAUCUUAAGUUUUAAUAAGUAAUAAUAAAUUAAUCCUUUAUUAUUUUUACAAUAUUAACUAAAAAGAUAAUGAUGAUGAAAAGGCCUUUCUUUUUUUUUAAUGUUCUGGAGAAUCACGUUACUUUACUUUGUUUACCAAAUUGCCAAUGCUUUGUCGUUUCAUUAUCACCGCUAACGACUACCACUUAAAAGAUGAAAAAGAUUUUUCAAUUUGCUGCAUUUUUUAUUUUGUCAAGUCAUUCACAGACAAGACACAGCGUUUGAGUUAAUCAAUUUGGAUUGUGUGUUGGUCAGAUUUAUCUUCUUAACAUUAUCUCAAUUUAUAUCUUCAGUUACCUCAAACGUAGCUCGACUGUCCUCGAAUACUAACGAAACGGAAACGUAGUCGGAUUUGCUAAUAGAAGAAGCUGAUUUUUGUAUAAUGAUAAGUUUUAUUGAAAGCCUGAAUGAAUAAUACUAAGGUUUUGAGCUCUUUUUACAACAAGUCUAAUUAUCGUGAAUUUACUAAAAUAAGCAAACUAAAAAAUAAUAUCAUAUUUAAAUUCUCCUAAUCAAAAUAACAAAAGAAAAACAAACAGCACUCAAAUUUGAAUUCUAGAAAAAAAAAUCUUAGAAGAAUUAGGAAAAAUCUUAAAAAUAGAAAACGACCAGGAAAAAAAUAGAGUUUUUAGCUCGACCACCGGGCAGAAUAGCUUAGGUUUUGUUCGUUUUAUCGUAAGUUUCAAAACGGUAUAUUAUAUGCUAAAAACGGAUAUUUGUAUCUCAAGUUAUGGCCUCUGGAAAGUAUACUGCUCGCAACACACAAUACGUAUUUUAUGACCAUGGAAUUUAAGUUUACAUAAUAAUAAUAAUAAAGAAGAAAAAUUAAUAUUUAAUUAAUAAGAUAUAUAUAUACACACACACAUAACACAACAUGCAUAAAAUAUGCCCUCAUUUGCUCAAAAGAUGAUCGUUUGAUUCACUGAGCAAUUAAUGUCCUUGUUGGGGCUCAAAAUGAUGAAUAAAUUAAACCAUAACAGUGACAAUUUAUCAUGAAAUUGAUUCACCCAUUGACAAAAUGUUGAUGAGCGCGAUAUCUUUUAUCUACUUUACUUUUAGGUUUAGCUUUCAAACAAAUUGUCAACUAUAGAUGCUGUGGAGAAGUAAUUGAAUGGUAAUAAUUUAGAGUCUUUAUAUAUUUAAAAUUUAAUCUUCCUCCAUUCCGCAGUUAUUCCAAGUGAGAAGACAAAGAAAAGCAUAUGAUGAUAAUAAAAGCAAGAUAAGUUGUGCACUUCUAGUUCAUAUCAGAAUUAUAAAGUAAAUUUAAUUAGACAUUUGUUACAAUUAAGAUUGAGAAAACUUAAUUCUUUAACCCAAGAAAUCACCACACACUGAUCUUAUUACGGCAAAAAUGGAAGAUCAAUAUAGAAAUCAGAAAAUAGAAUAAGGGUAUUUAACCAGAGAUAGAGAUUUAGAAGAAUGAAAGGAAAACGAACACAAAAGGGGUUAUAGAGGUUCGGCUUGACAGCCUACAUCCUCUUGAGAAACAAAAGCCAUGCCUUUUCUUUUAUGCUUAACAUAUUACAAGUCUUAGAGGAAUUGAUACAAGGAACGAUAUAUAGCGCUCAGUAUGGCCUUGAAGGCUUUAUAUACAACUCGAAGGAGAUCCAGAUGGGUGUGUUGCACGCCAGCUCUUAUUCUGGGUUUGUUGAAACAAACCCAGAAAAUUCCCGCCAAGUCUAACCGUCCGUAACAGCUCUUCAGCUUGAAACGGCAUCAGCAGCUGCCGUUUAACUAAACCUUGAUCCUGUUGAUGCUCGUGCAAGUCACGUGCAUCACUUAAGCUUUUCGUAUGAUAAAGACUUGUUGUCAUAUGGCAGUGUUAUCUGUUUGAUUGCCUUGUCGUUUCUUAUUGGAUUCCCGAAAUGACAAAGUCGUCUCCUUCGGAAAUUCCUUAUUCAGGUUCACAAUUAACAACAUUUGUAUCGAGUCGAACCACCAAAAAUUACAAAGUGUAGGUGUUGCAUGCGCCUUUCAUAGACCAAUAACUUCAAUUCCUUCUGAAAAAGAAGCAAGCAAAUGUCUAAGAAAGCGGAAUCCACACAACAGUAUAUUCACAUACAUUGUUCAAGAUUUUAGUGGUUAUUGCCCAUUAAUUAUUAUAAGAAAGAAAAAAGAAAGAAAGAAAGAAGUUGUAUGGUACAUGUAUUGCACAUAAAAAAGAUCUUUAGAUAAUAUUGGAAAAGGUGGCAGUGUUGUUAAGGCAUUGUUUUAGGAUUUCGGUGCUCCAAUCGACGAAUCGGUGACGGUUUCUCAAGAAUCCGGGCAAAGCUCCAACGAAAGGGUAAUGUCUAAAGCCGACAGAAGGCCUUUUGUUCGAAGUCAUGAAAAAGAACAAGCAGAGAUAAAGAGAGAGGAGGGAGAAGAAGACGAAAGAUUGACCAACAGAGAAGAGCAUUUCCAUAGCUAGAUUCAAGCUACUGAGAUAUUUGUUUUUCUCUAUAUUUCGUCGUGUAUGCAUAUAUAGACAGACGAGAAAUUCUGGAAUACACACAUAGUAGCAGAAAAAAAUUGACAAAAUAAAUAAAAUAACGACAUGUCUACAUUAAGAUAAAAUUAUGUCAGUCUACUUUAUCUUGUAGUUGGAAUAUUUUUUGUUUUAAUUUUUUUUUCAAAUUUGGUGUUCAUAUAUCAUUUUUAUUAAUUAAACAGUUGUAAACUAUAAUAAAAUUUUCUUUAUUAAAUUACGUCAGAUUAAUUUGACUAUUAAUUUGUUUCCCAAAAAAAAUUGUUGAAUUUUUUCCCUUUAUUUAUUUUCUCUAUCCAAAUUUAGAUUUGGGGGUGAUUCUUAGGAAAUUUAAAUUGCUAAUGUGGUUUUCUUUCUGGAUAUGAAGUUUUUAAAUUUAAUAGUAGAAAUGACAACUAGUGAAAUGACUUUUUGUAAAAGAUGUAUAGUUGUGUCAUCAUAAGAAGAAAUUCUUGAAUAUAUUAUAAGUACUACACCCAAUUAAUAUAUGUAUGACAUGUGUAGUUCAAAUGUCCAAUUGUAUAUAACUACCAAUUACAUGGUGAUUAUGCACACAUAGUAGAGCUCGAAGAUACAUGUAUAAUUAAUUAGGUAUAGUAUCUCUCAUAUGCUCUAGAAUCUCUCUAUCAUAAGAGCUAAAUCAGGCGGUAGCUAAUUUGAAAGAGAAUCAUAGUAGAGUUCGAGGAUAAACGAGUAUGAUUUGUGUAGGUUUUGUGUAGUAACUUUUGAAGAGUCCUAUAAGAGCACUGGUUUCUCCUUAUUGAACUUUAUCAUUGUGUUUUAAUUGCUUAUAACAAACUAAUUUUAUAGGUAGCAGGGACAGAGCCCCACAAAGACGAGAAUUUCAUUUUCAUCUAGUUUUUCCAUCAUGAUUUUUCAUGAAACUAACGAUCGUUUCUAAGGGUGACCUUCUAUUGCAUAUAACACAAAGGGAUAUUUCACUUUUGCUUACAAACCCCCACAAACCCCCCCCCCCCCACCAUUUUUUUCCUUUGAUUUCUCCACUAUCUCAGUUGGGGUUUCGAGAACUUUCACGCUAAGCUUGUAGUGAAAUGUGCUUUAUAUUAGUUUUCUUUUCUUUUACUAAUUCUUAUUUCGUAGGCUUCUAACGAACACGCUAUCAGUUGUGUAUAGAAAGUGCCGUUAUAUUUUUUAGUUCUUCAAUGACAGUAAUCACUCGAACAAACUUCUCAAUGAUGCUAAUUAAUAUCUUCUCUAAUCCAUUAUCAUGGAACUCUUAUAUCCCAUGUAUUUUUCAUGCCGAUAGCUCCAUUGAUUCACGAAAUAAAUCUUCAUCAGACAAUAGAUAUUGCUUGUUGAAGGAUGAAUGCUUUUGUUCAUAGCUUUAUGUUGAUUAUCACUCAAUUUUGUUAGAGAAAACGACUUCUGGAGUGUUAAUAUCGAGUUCGACUAUCCCUUAAUUACAAAUAUAUUUUGAGAUUGGAAUAAGGACGUUGUUAUUUUCUUAACUGAAAAUGUUAUGAUUACAAAAGAUGAAUACUAGCACUUGGUUUACACUUGCCUAAAAAAAGAAUGAAGGCAGAAGCCAAAUGCUUUUGCAUAGAGUUGCUACUUUGGCUAGAGAUUAAAACUCCACUGGCCUUUGAUUUUGGUUGAUGCCGCCACAAAAAAUUGUAGAAUUAAAGAUAUUCUUGAUUCUACAAAGCCUAAAUGAUGACAUUAUAUUUGAAUGGAUGAUUGUAAUUAAAUUAAAGCCAAAAAACAAAGUUUUGAAUGGAGUAAUGUUCUCCUCUUUCCUUAGUUUGAUUGUAUUUUUCAUAUAAAAAUACUGAUCAUUCAAAUAAGAAAGGAUUUAAGUCGACUAGGUGAUCCACAAUUGAUGAAGAGAAACGGAAUUAAAUUAAGAAAAAGACGCUCAAGAGAACUGCACAUUUUCUCUCAGCAUAACAUUUUUAUGCUGAAAUGAGGCCUUUAAUAGUCAUGUUAUGUUAGAAAUUUAGAACCAAUUGUUGACAGUGGGAAUCUGAAAAAAAGGAAUGAGAUAUUGGGAGAGGAAAUUAACGUUUGCCUGAAAAAUCUUGGUUGCUCUCAGUAUAUAUUUAUCCAAUUGAUGAGAAUUUUUUCAUGUGUUUUUAAACUUAUAUAUUGGCUAAGAAGCAUUGUGCGUUAAGAAUCUGCGAAUGAGAGAGUGUACACUAGAUGACUAGAAGUAAAGUUAUCAACUUACUAUUAUUUUGUCUAGUCACAUAAUUUAAUACAUUUGUAAUAGUUUUAUAUCUAUUUAUAUAGAUUUAUACAAGGUAAUCAGUAUUAUGAUAAAACCUCUUCUUUUCGUGUUGCGUCCCUAUAAUUGGCCUGUGGCGAUAGAUAUAUAGAAUAGAUUUAUAUUUGUAAUGCUUGAGUGAGUUUCUCUAAGACGGGAUCCUGCACUUUAAUUUAUUAAAGUUCGAGAUGAACUUUUACAAUAUUAUAAACAAGUUUUAUAAUGUUGCAACCUGAUUAUUUCUAUCUAAUACAUUAAGCAGCCAAGAGGCCGUAGCAUCAAACAAGAAAAUCUGAAUGAGGUUUCGAAUUGGCUAUGAGUUUUUUAUUAAGUCUGCUCCACUCAACGAUGAAUUCAUUAAUGGGGUUGCUACUCGGGACAUGGUAAUUGAUCCAAACAGUAGCUUAACGGUUCGGUUUUUGAUCCCACAAAGGAAUGGUAUUCUUCCAGGAAAAUAUAAGCUGUCCCUUCUCCUUUAGUUCCAUUUUGGCUGCUUUUGCAUUCUCCUUCAUUUCCACUUUGGCUGCUUUUGCAUAGGCCGUCCUGAUUCUGUCCAAUUUAAUUUCUGUUCGGUUUCACAAGUUAUGUGUGUGCUGAGGCUUAACUAUUGUAGAAAUCCUUAGUGUAGUGACUACAUGUACUUUCGGUAUCUACCAGGUGAUAACUGGUAACAUUUUGGUCUUUUCGAGUGAUCACGUCACUCAAAAAGGGGUGAUCACAAAUUUGCACUAGCAACUUGAAACUUCUGAAUGUCUCAUAGUUUUAUGUCAAUAUUACAUGUAAAUCAUUGUCUCAGGGGCUAAAAGUCAAGUUCCUGCGAGUUUGAUAAUGACGAAAGUAGAAAAACACCUUCUUAAUUACCCACUAACUUGUCAAUAGUCACAAAAGCUUCAGGUCAAAAAAAGAAGUUUAUGGAUUCUAGACAUUGAAUGGUUAAUACUUAAUCGGUGAGAUUCAAUUUUGUGUGGUUGUGAAAGGCCGUUUUAAAAUUAAUUAUUCAUUGAAAAGUAAUAAUGAGAUUGCUCAUUGAUAAUUAGUUAAAUGAACGCUUAGCAAUCAGAACUAAAUAAUUUGACCGGAGGAAAAUCCAGCUAAUGUAAAUCUACUUCUUUUAAGUGUUUAAUCAAAGUUUUUGUGCAUAAAAAAAAAAAAAAAAAAUUGAAUGAUUCAAAACUGUAAAAUCCAAAUGAUAAAUUAGUCCAUAGCCCGACGGACCCAAAUUUAAAAAAUAAAUUAAAAUCAAAAAGUCCAAAAUCAAUUAUUUGACUAGGAACUUCACCUAACGCGCGUUAAGUGUGGUGGCGAGCUUUGAUUGGAAGAAUCAUGUAGUAGGAUUCAAUGCUCCAAUGAAAUUCGACACGAGUGCCGUCGCACCGUAACAUACACAACCGGUGCGCACUAGAUUAGUUCCUUAUCAAAAUAUUCAAAUAACGAAGAUCAUUAAUUACUAUAGUUCCAUUUGGAGGCAUUGAUUAGAAAAUUAAUUUAAAAUAAUAAGAACGAAACAAAAAUGCGAGUGCGCCUUACAUAUGGACAAUUUUGUAUCCCAAUGGCGAAAUUAUGAUGUGAGUGAUGAUAGAAGUAUAAAACUCUUAUACUAAAUCAAUUUGUACAAAUUGAUAUUACUUUAAAUUCAUCGAAUAGAAAAAAAAAAGAGUAAAAUAAUAAAAAUUAAAUCACGUAAACUAAGAAUUAUUUAAUUCCAAAUAAUUAAUUAUGUAGUCUGAUUUAAUAGGAGUACGGGGCAUAUAUCUAGUGCAUUUCAGCAUUUACAUAGAGCAAUACAGUACAGGUACAUGUACCGCAAUUAAGCUGCGACGUCUGCAAAACGUACAUACGACAAUUGCACUUUACACGUCAAACAAUUGUAUGCUUCUUCUUGGACAAUACCAAUACCAAUACCAACAAAAACAGAAGACAUAUCAUUAAUAAUUGAAUUUUAACAUCUGGAAACUCGUGAAGGCGAAUCUCAAUCCACGGCACCCGGACAUCUUUCCCUCACUGUUACGUGCAAUCCAUCUUUAAUUCUGAGAGUCAAAGAUAAUACCUUCUCCGGACAAGUGUCCUUAUGUUGUACGUCAACCGCAAACCUCUCAAUCACAGACGCUGCUAUUGAUUUCAUCUGAAUGUAAGCCAUAUCUUUCCCAAGACACAUCCUCGGCCCGGCGUGAAAAACCGGAAACCGAAACACAUUUUCCGACCGAUAAAUUCCGUCCUCCAGCCACCUUUCCGGCAAAUAUUCAUUGCAAUUCUCUCCCCAUAUGCUCUCCAUCCGCCCCAUUGCAUAUGCAUGAUAAGUAACAAACCAAUCCUUUCCGACAAAUGUACCGUCUGGCAAGAUAUCGUCCUUUCGGCAAGCUUUCGAGUCAACCGGAACCGGCGGGUACAGCCUCAACGUCUCGGAUAGCGCUGCAUGCAAAUAAUGCAUGUCUCGCAACUCCUCGAAACUGUAGGUAGCGCCGACGCUUCUCCCAUUUCGGGCCCGAAUCGAUUCAAGCUCCUUUAAAAUAUUUUGCUCAACCUUGGGAUGGGAUGCUAAUAGCCAAAAGAACCAACUCAAAGCCGAAGAAGUAGUGUCACGUCCAGCCAGGAUAAAGCUAAU